ACCUAUAGCCAUACCACCCUUAAUGAGCCUGAUCUCGUCUGAUCUCAGAAGCUAAGCAGGUUUGGGCUUGGUUAGCACUUGGAUGGGAGAUAUAUAUAUACAUGUGUA
rfam:Pan troglodytes isolate Yerkes chimp pedigree #C0471 (Clint) chromosome 5, whole genome shotgun sequence.